UAGAAUUAGGGAAGAAAACAACAAUAUAUAUCUAGUUUGUUUCUUUUGCUACUUGUCUGGCAAUGGCAUCACUCAAGGCUGAGAAACCCGUUGGCACGCAACUCUUUGGCCAGGCCAAGAAGGAACCUGCCAAGGCCAGUGAUGGUGCCUCCAAACCCGCAGCCAAAAAGGGCGUUGCUCAAAAGCCUCAGCAACCUAGUAAGAAGAAGAAGGGCAAAGGUGGGAAAGCAGCAAGCAAGCACUAGCUGCCUGGCAACUCAAGUGCAGAUUUUCUUAUGAUUAGAGAUCCUGGAUAUCUAGAUGUUAUUACUACUUAUUUAUGUUAUGACUUAUGAGCAGGGGAAGUUGAUAAUUUAGGGUUCUUGUAAGUUACAGUUUGACAAGAUUGCGCUAAUGAAAUAAUAUAGCAUCGGGAAGGGAAUGAAUUUAUAGUAGCA